rnacentral:rRNA from 1 species
AUUGAACGCUGGCGGAAUGCUUUACACAUGCAAGUCGAACGGCAGCACGGACUUCGGUCUGGUGGCGAGUGGCGAACGGGUGAGUAAUGUAUCGGAACGUGCCCAGUCGUGGGGGAUAACGUAGUGAAAAUUACGCUAAUACCGCAUACGAUCUAUGGAUGAAAGCGGGGGAUCGCAAGACCUCGCGCGAUUGGAGCGGCCGAUAUCAGAUUAGGUAGUUGGUGGGGUAAAGGCACACCAAGCCAACGAUCUGUAGCUGGUCUGAGAGGACGACCAGCCACACUGGAACUGCGACACGGACCAGACGCCUACGGGAGGCAGCAGUGGGGAAUUUUGUACAAUGGGCGAAAGCCUGAUCCAGCCAUUCCGCGUGCAGGAUGAAGGCCCUCGGGUUGUAAACUGCUUUUGUACAGAACGAAAAGGUUUCUACUAAUACUAGGAGCUCAUGACGGUACUGUAAGAAUAAGCACCGGCUAACUACGUGCCAGCAGCCGCGGUAA